GUCACAGAAGUAAAAAGCUUACACAUCAAGUAUCCCCAAAAGAGAGUUGGAGGUGGGGAGGGAGACUAAAGAACCAACAAAAUACCGACAAAGCUCGUCGGAAGGUUCUCUUGCGAGGCCCACAAGGUCCUGUCGUGCAGGGGCAUCCAAUGAUGGGCCAAUUCUUGACAAAGAAUAUGCUUCAUUUUUUUUUUUUGAUGAAUGGAUCCAUUCCAAUGACUUGACAUAAAACAGUAAUAAUUGGGCCCACAGUUGAGCCCAUCAACAUUCUUCUUUUUGCACAUGGAGGCUCCUUGGAUCAUGCAUCGA
rnacentral:lncRNA from 1 species